CCUGUCCAUAUCAUAAGAAGGAUAAAACAACUUUACAAUCAUUCUUCAGGCCUGUAAAUUUGGAUAUUUGAAUGGGUGCAAAUUCCACCAUAGUCCAUCCAUGCAGGUAUCGGAAAUAUCUGAACUCAUCUAGUUCUUUCACAUUUUAUAGUUUGAGAAGUAAAGAUCAUAUGCUUUUUUCAGGUGGUGUAUAGUUAUAUCAGCCUCCUAAACAGUCUUACUUCCUUUACUAAACAUGACAUGAUUUCAUGCUCUAAAAUUACUGGACAAGUUAUUUGCUGCUCUUUAAUCUGCUGACCUCUGUUAUCAAUGGAUAUGCACAUGAUAAUGGAGUCUUGCAGCUUCCUUGUGGAAUAGGGGCGACAGAAUAUUGAAAUUUUGGCUUCUCAGUAUCUUAACUUUAGCUAACAAAAAUAUUCAAAUGUCAUGCAAAUGAUAGAGACAAAGGAACUGCAAAUUUCUUGCCUUGGGGUAGAAAGGAAAGAGCAUCACUCUCAAGAACUGACAUGGAGAACAUAAUGCUGAACUCGACCACAUUGCCUCCAUAAUUUAAUAGGUUCAUUAUUAACCAGGUCGAUGGUGUCAUUUUGAUUUUUGGAACUUUUUAUUGUUCCAUGUGGUUAUGAUUCAGAUGCUUUGCUUGCUGUAAGUCUCUUGACUUCUUGGGAACUUCCUACUUGUUUAUAUAAUUAAAGUGCAAAAGUUGGUCCAUAUGUAUACCUAUAUCUGCUAAUUAUUUAUUGCAAAGUGCUAUCUGUUUCAGGUUGUACAUUGGUUUUAGUACUUAUGUCCAUUCAUUUGCAUCCCUCAAAUUAGCGAGCGAAUGAUCCCAUGCAUUUCCUGUGCCUUUCUGGACUGUGGAGGUGGUAUUAGUUUCACUACGCCUAGCAAAUUGCAAUGGUUCCCUUCAAAUUUCCUACAUUGUUUCUGUUUGUUUGAAUAAUUACCUGAUUGUGAAUAUAUGCAAUUUUUUUCCCCUAACAAGCUAAAAUUGUUACACUGAUUGUUGAGUUGUUUACUGCUUGCUAUAUAUUUGCACCAGUUGCCUGUUGAUUUUGAGCUUUGUGCAUUGUGCAUUGCCUGAUCUUGGCUAGAUUCAAGACAUAUAGAUAUGCCCAUACGUUUCAUGCCUUUUUCGGCUGCAAUUAUGCAGUCUUGCAGCAUGUCUGCUGCCACUAUCAAACAAAUUCAGUUACUAUCAAUGGAAUACGUAGUAGUUCCUAAGAUGCAUGGUCUGGUAUCAACAACUUCUGAUGCUAUAUACAGGACCAAUUUUCACACUAUCAGUUGACCAUCUUCCUGUCAGGGAAUAGUGCUUGAUCAUGUACUAUGGCAUUGUCCUGUAUAAUUGGUCGAUCACAACUAAUUUAGUAGUGUUCUCACACUUCACUUUCUAGCAUGCAUUGAAUGGUCAACUGAUUGGGUGUUUCUCCAUGUUGAAACAAACGUGAAAAUGAUUUUGUAUAUAUUACUGCUUGGCCAAUGGGAAAUAAUAUCUUGGUUUUAUUUUUGUAAGGUAUGAGAUGCGGUGGAUAGUUGCCGCAUUAGCUGCAGCACCUACUCAGUCAUGUUAUAUGGGAUUUGGCAAUAUUAAUGCGUUAGUGAGUUCUAUUGCUAGGGAAGGUCUGCAAACAAUUCUCUGUGUUUGCUUCUCCUUUCCAUUAUCAUAUUGCGCUUAACAAAAAUUGGAAAAAUGGUGAAAGGAAGAUCUCUAGAGCACGAAGUGCUUACAAAUUAAAGUCGUGGUUAGUCAUUCAAUCGAAAUACAACUUAAUUAAUCAACAUUUGGUGAAAGGCUAGUAAGUUGUUGAUGGUAGAAUAUUACUGGGGAUACAACUAUUUGUCCAAACAACUACCUGAAGCUAAUGAGUUGAGCAGAAUGGUAUGCCACAUUUUUUUUAAAUAGGAUCAUUGAAACUGAAAAAAUAUAAAUUAUAUGCAUGAAUUGUAGAACAAAAGAGUACCAAGCUUUUAAGUUGUCAAGUUGUGGCUAGUCACUCUAUGGAAAUACAACUCAGUCAAUCAACAGUAUGCAGAAACCUUGCAAGUUGUGAUUGUUUAUAGCAGAAAAAGCCAGGCUAUGGCGCUAUUGCAACAAUCUUCACACUUGACGAAUCUAAGCUAAAGAAAUAGCAGGUCUGGUAACAUGCACCCUGGAACCCUACACAUGCACUCACAAAGAAUCUGACCAUAUUGCUUAUGCUGGAUCCAAAAAAGUCUGUUAAAAACUGAUUGAUGGGAAUCUUCAUGUUGAAUCAUCGUAUGUAGCAAUUGAUUCUGCCUUUUGUAAGUGCAGUGCCGUUGUGUUUUCUUAAGGAGCUGGAUCUUCAAAGUAGAAUGAAGCAAUGGUGAGCUUAGUGUGAGUAUUUUAAGAGUGAUGUUGUUUAAAUUUGCAACCGUUUGGGAUCUCUACGAGUUUAAUUAAUCGUAAGAUUAAUUUUCUUUUGGAAAUGAAUUUAUUGAUCACCAAAUUCCUUGUAUUUUACUUUUUGUCUAAUGCAUUUGUGUAUUUGCUGCAGUUUGUCUGCCAACAAAUUUUUAUUUAUGUUCAUCCACACCCCUAGAGUUUAGCUUGUUAAGUGUAUUUGUUAAUAUAACCGAUUAGAACAAUAUAUGAUUGCAGGGGGCUCAUUGGGAUCCAAUCAUGAGAGUGGUUGGUUUUAUGUUGCCAAGAGAACAUAGAGAGAGAGAGAGAGAGCUGAAAAUUUUCCUACAUUCUAGCUCUGGCACAGUGUUGAGUUGUGGAGAACCGAGAUCAACACAUCACAUUUGAAAUUUACAUCAUCAAACUAGUAUAUGCUUCUAUAUAUAUCAUGUGAAAUCUAUCGGGCAUGUUCAUUUUACAAAAGCAUGGAUUGGGCAGUUUUUGCCUGAUUCUAAGGGCUUGUGAUCGGUGAAAGUAUUUCUUUUUCAGGUUCUGAUCAUCGGUUAUAACCUGCUGAAUUCAAGCCAUGACUGUUCAGGUAUUUGUCUUGGCUGACUUUUGCCAUGACUAUGUGAAAAGGAACCGUGAAAGCCACCUGGAUGCUUGAGGAGCCUGCAUCUUUUUUAAUGCUCGGUUCCGAAAGAUCAGUAGGCAAGCCUUUACAGCUCAUGCUAUCUACAUGAACUUCUAUUUUGACAUAAACUUUCUAUUGUUCGUCCUUGAUUUUAAAUUCAUGGACAUCUAAAUUCUGCUAGUCACGCCAUUCUAUUUCAUGGACACGUCAAAAGAAUCCGGAUAGGAUGCAAUUUGUGACUUUUACAAAGACUUAGAUCUUCUAUUAAUAGUGUUUUAGAAGAUGAUAUUCUCUUUAGCCUCCCGGCUGCUGCAGUAUGAAACCAUCUAGCUGAGGUCCUGGGAAAUCUCUGUAUUACAUUGUUAGUCCUGUGAAGACCGGAUCUGGUUACAAAUAUUUUAUUUCUGUUUCUGGCAAAUGUUCCAAAUGGACAAAAAUGCCAAUUUCACCCGCUAUACCAGUGUCCCACUUUUCAUCUCUUGUUAAUUCUGUGCUAAG
rnacentral:lncRNA from 1 species